UUUUGCUGUUUCUGUCUUGGAUUCUGGCCUCAUGAGUUAAGUAAGGUAAGAGAAGGUAGAGUACUUGAAUAGGAAACCUCCAAGGAAAACCCAGGUGCCGCAGGAA
rnacentral:rRNA from 1 species